CCACAACAAAUGCCUUGAUAUUUAUUUUAUUUUUUAAACCAAAAAGGUCAUUAAAUCCUGUUACAUCCACACUUUUGUCAUUUACUUGGACACAAUCAAGAGCAGAUAACUGAUCCCAAACUAAUUAUAUUCUGCAGAUCCUCUAAGAUCUACAAAUUUUUACAUAGCCACAGGUAGGUAUUAUCCAAAAAACAUUUCUCCUGAGAUACAAAUUUUAAAAUUUACCACAUAUGCUCUAUAAAUUAUACUAGGGUAACAUUAUAUAAAAAUAAAAUGGAUUGCUUUGCACAUGGAAAGGUCAUUCUGUUUAACCUUUUAAGGACCAAACUUCUGGAAUAAAAGGGAAUCAUGACAUGUCACACAUGUCAUGUGUCCUUAAGGGGUUAAAGAGACACUAUAGUCACCAGAAAAACUACAGCUUUAUGUAGUUGUUCUGGUGAGUAUAGUCAAUCCCUGUAGCCUUUUUGCUGUAAACUCUGCCUUUUCUAUGGUUUAAAUUGCUCCCUAACAACACCUCAAAUGGCCACUCCUCAUACUCCCACUAGAGGUGCUUCCUGGGGCAGUGCUGUCCAGUGUGCUGAAAUUUCCCCAUAGAGAUGCAUUGAUUCAAUGCAUCUCUAUGAGGGGAUGCUGAUUGGCCAAGCCAGCGUUUGUGUUCCCGACCCUAUAACGUUCCUUUUAAGGUUUACUGCGCACUAUGGGAAAUGUAAUCCUGGGGAAAACAGUUUGCAGAUCCUUGACAAAAAUUAAGCAAAAAUACAAACUGAGCAGGAUUUUACAUCGUAUAAAUAUACAACACUGGCAUCUGAUAGCUCUACUUAUUAAUGUUAAAAGGACAUCCCAUGCACAAAACACAGCUUUCAUACCCUUUGGCCUAAAUACUGUAUUUAUUUAUUUAUUUUUUUCCUUCAACAUUUCAACACUGCCUUCCCGGCGUAAUAUCUCUCGUUCUAAAAUAUUUCCUUCUUGCACCGCUUGUUCCUGAAUAGAGGUAUGUAAUGCCGGAGCUCCAUACGUCUGUUUUUUCUGUCCCGUUCAUUUAAGCAGUGUCUCUUCUAUAACACAAUUGUGAAUGCCAUUAAGAAGCAAAGCAAUGGGUUCUAGAAUUUGUACAAAGUUGAUAACUGAAUUCCUUGCUCUGGGCAGAACCGAGGCUUCACAGAGAGCACUAAAAUCUGCUAAACAGACCUGACAUAGCAUGGCAUGAGUUAUUUUAUAGACUCUAGUGCCUGUCCUUUAGAGUAAAAAAAAAAAAAAAAUCAAAAACCAGUAGUGCAUGGCCUGCAUGUUUAACUGUUGAAAUGCAGUUGAAUAUGUCCAGCAUUUCAGAGCCCCAUUACCAGAAUGGAAAAUUCCAUGUCACGCUCAAGGCUACAGUUUCCAUGCAAACGCAGCAAUCUCAGAUGCAUCUGUUAUUACUUUGCGUUGGUUCUUACAUAUAUUUAAAUACAUUUUCUACAUUAAAGAUUAUCUGCAUUAAACUAAAAGAAUUGAUCAAUUCCAGCCUGCCAUGAUGACCCUUUAAGUGGCAACUCCUGAAUUCAUAAGUGACCAUCCGGCUAAUGACCAAAUCACGGCACUCUGCAAAACCCUAAGUGGGAGAAAAAAAAUAAAAUAAGUGACAUACACAAGAUCAAUCUUAUAUAAAGAUUGUUCAUGGGUAGAACAUUGGCUUAAAAAUAGAGUACAGAAAGUGGUCAUUAAUGGUACAUUUUAAAGCUAGACAGAGGUGGCAAGUGACUCCCCUCAGGGUUCUGUUCUAGGAACACUUCUAUUUAACAUAUUUAUAAAUGAUCUUGAAAUAAGUAUUGAAAUCAUGUUUCAAUUUUUGCAGAUGACACAAAACUCUGUAAAGUAAUACAUUGUGCACAAUAUAUUUCUUUGCUGCAGAGGGAUUUAGAUAGGCUGGGGGACUGGGUGCUCAAAUGCCAAAUGAAAGGUAAUUUUAAAAUUAUGCUCUUUGGGGUAAAGAAUGCACAAGCAACUUAUACCCUAAAUAGUAGUGAAUUGGGGAUAACAACACACAAA
rnacentral:lncRNA from 1 species